UCGAACGAAGCAUAGGAGUGGAAUUUUUCGGAAGGAAACAACUAUGACUGAGUGGCGGACGGGUGAGUAACGCGUGGGUAACCUGCCUCAUACAGGGGGAUAACAGUUAGAAAUGACUGCUAAUACCGCAUAAGCGCACAAAACCGCAUGGUUUGGUGUGAAAAACUGAGGUGGUAUGAGAUGGACCCGCGUCUGAUUAGCUAGUUGGAGAGGUAACGGCUCACCAAGGCAACGAUCAGUAGCCGACCUGAGAGGGUGACCGGCCACAUUGGGACUGAGACACGGCCCAAACUCCUACGGGAGGCAGCAAUGGGGAAUAUUGCACAAUGGGGGAAACCCUGAUGCAGCAACGCCGCGUGGGUGAAGAAGUAUUUCGGUAUGUAAAGCCCUAUCAGCAGGGAAGAAGAGAGACGGUACCUGACUAAGAAGCCCCGGCUAACUACGUGCCAGCAGCCGCGGUAAUACGUAGGGGGCAAGCGUUAUCCGGAUUUACUGGGUGUAAAGGGAGCGUAGACGGCUUGAUAAGUCUGAAGUGAAAGGCCAAGGCUUAACCAUGGAACUGCUUUGGAAACUAUGAGGCUAGAGUGCUGGAGAGGUAAGCGGAAUUCCUAGUGUAGCGGUGAAAUGCG
rnacentral:rRNA from 1 species